rnacentral:rRNA from 1 species
UACGUAGGUGGCAAGCGUUUGUCCGGAUUUACUGGGGCGUAAAAGAGCGCGCAGGCGGUCGUUCAAGUCGCGUGUGAAAGCCCCCGGCUCAACUGGGGAGGGUCACGCGAUACUGAUCGACUCGAAGGCAGGAGAGGGAAGUGGGAAUUCCCGGUGUAGUGGUGAAAUGCGUAGAUAAUCGGGAGGAACACCAGUGGCGA